rnacentral:rRNA from 1 species
AACGAACGCUGGCGGCAUGCCUAACACAUGCAAGUCGAACGAGACCUUCGGGUCUAGUGGCGCACGGGUGCGUAACGCGUGGGAACCUGCCCUUAGGUUCGGAAUAACUCCCCGAAAGGGGUGCUAAUACCGGAUAAUGUCUUCGGACCAAAGAUUUAUCGCCUUUGGAUGGUCCCGCGUUGGAUUAGCUAGUUGGUAGGGUAAAAGCAUACCAAGGCGACGAUCCAUAGCUGGUCUGAGAGGCUGAUCAGCCACACUGGGACUGAGACACGGCCCAGACUCCUACGGGAGGCAGCAGUGGGGAAUAGUGGACAAUGGGCGAAAGCCUGAUCCAGCAAUGACGCGUGAGUGAUGAAGGCCUUAGGGUUGUAAAGCUCUUUUACCCGGGAUGAUAAUGACAGUACCGGGAGAAUAAGCUCCGGCUAACUACGUG